CAGCCGCCGCGGGAAUACGAAGGGGGCUAGCGUUGCUCGGAAUUACUGGGCGUAAAGGGCGCGUAGGCGGACAUUUAAGUCAGGGGUGAAAUCCCGGGGCUCAACCUCGGAACUGCCUUUGAUACUGGGUGUCUUGAGUAUGAGAGAGGUGUGUGGAACUCCGAGUGUAGAGGUGAAAUUCGUAGAUAUUCGGAAGAACACCAGUGGCGAAGGCGACACACUGGCUCAUUACUGACGCUGAGGCGCGAAAGCGUGGGGAGCAAACAGGAUUAGAUACCCCCGUAGUCCCUGUCUCUUAUAC
rnacentral:rRNA from 1 species